CCUUCCAUGCAUUUUUUUGUUUGUUUUUGUUUUAAUAACACUCUUCUAUGAUUGAUGUCAAAAUCAGAACUUAGUACACUUCUAUCAUCCUCCUUGGUAGGCAUGUGGAAGAACUACAUGCUAUGAUCUUUUCUUUGCUCUUUAGGUUCACUAAUUGUAUUCUGUGUCCAAUAUUUUGUUUCCGUUCUAAGAACCGGAGUUCGCUAUAGUAGUUGUUAGACUUGAAAGUUCUUUAUUACUCUUGUACACAUCUUCAUUCAUCAAAUUAGUGCAUUCAGUUACUAUUAUUGAACAUUGUACAAGAGUCGAUGUUCAGACACAAUUAUCAAUUUGUAUAUACCUUUUGCCUGUUUCAUUUUCUUUUGUUCCAGCUGUAUCCUUUUAAGUGAGGAAUACAUAUUUAUUUUUGUUUGUUUGUUUGUUCACAAUGGAAAAUUUGAGUUUCGAUGUUGGUUUUGUCAAUAACCAAUCUCUGCAAUUUUCUUUUUGCUUUGUGUCACAUUAUUAAAUCUGUGUGGUGAUCAUAGUUCUUACAGUUUGGUUGGUUGUUGGAUUGUCUAGGGAUUAUUGUUUGGGUGAUUCCAUUGUAAAUUUUGCUUCUUGAUUCUUAGAAUAUUUACUGUAGUCAAUUGAUUUAACUUUGUGAGAAAUACUUAUUCUUUUAUGUUUAUACCCAAGUAAGGAUAUAUCAUCAAUGUCUUAAUUAUCAUAUUUUUUUAUUAAUUAUUAUAAUUCACCUUUAAUGUAUAUAUGAUUAUACCUUUUUAAAACAAAUAACUCAUUAUAUUAUUCAUAGAAUAAUAAAAAUGUAGAUUUUUUUUUCUGUAUAUGCCAUGAUUUCAAUUUUUUUGAAAAAAAUAAUUAAUUGUUCUAUUUAUAUAUUAAAAAUUACAACGGGUCAAAAAUUUAAAAUUAAGUUUAUAUACAAUUAAUGUAGUACUUCAACAAAAAAAAUUUAAAAGUUUCGGGUCAGAACUUACCUAUAUACAAUGUAUAAUUUAUAUACAACAACAAACUUAUAAAUCUUUUAAUUUGGAACAUGUAAAAAUAAUUUAACCAACCAUUUUUGAAGUAUCAUAAAAAUCUUAGAUAAAAAAAAUAAAAAUACUUUAAUUUGAUCAUUUCAAAUAAAUAUUGAAAAUAUUUAUUGCAAACGACGAGUUAACUGUAAUGUUUUAUAUGAUAGAAUAAAUUAUGAUUCUUAGUUAUAACAUAUCGAAACUUUAUUUUAAAAUAUAAAAUUAUGAAUAAAACAAAAUAUAGCAUGGAUACUGAUUUAGUAAAUAGUUUACAAUAGUUGGUACAUUUGCAAGUACUUAAUUUUGUACUUUAGUACAUACUAUAUUUA
rnacentral:lncRNA from 1 species